GCUGCAUUGGCACGAGGGGCGGUGGCGCUGAGGGACGUCCUGGUCUCUGUGGGGCCUGGAAUCUCCGCAGAGGCCAGCCGAGGGCGAGGAGGCUUCUAGAGUGAUAUAAAAAGAACAAUUCACAGAGAAACGUUCGCUAUCUUCCUUCGGAGACAUUUCUGAAAUUAAAGGGUUGUGGGUGAAGGAAUCCAAAUCGAGGGAGACUCCUCAGGAAGCUAGCCGAAGAAUGUCCAGCUCUUUUGCCACGGUUUCUGGCCACUCCCGCCAGCCCGAGGGAGCCUGCAGGGAGAGAGUUUUGUGGUUUUAAUGCGCAAAUCUCCACAGACCGGCUGUUGGGGGAAAAAAGUGUUAGCCGCCUCUCCCGGAUCUGCAAGGGGGAAAAAUUUUGGAGCCAUAAAGUUGAAAACUUUUUUCUCUCAGUUUUGGAAGAAGCCUUUCGUCAUGAAUGGGACCAGAGGAGCUCGGGCGAGAGCGGGCAAGAGGCACAGAAGGUAGGGGAGAUUUCUCGCCUGCCGCUCGCGCUGGGGCUCGAUGUGAAUAUAUAUUAUGUCUGCCUGUUCUCCCCUCGUCGGUGGCUAAGGU
rnacentral:lncRNA from 1 species